ensembl:lncRNA
CACGGAGGGGGCCAACUCAAGAGAAUGAACAUAAAGGAAGGAACACACCACUGCUGCUGUUUCUAAGCUGCUUGAGUUCCCAACUCCGAAACUGCCUCUCUCUGGAUUUAGGGUUUUGAGAGCUAACAAACUAAUAAAUGUCCUUAUUCCUUAAGCCACAUUUAGUUGAGCUUUCUUUACUUUGGAGCCCAAAGUGUUUUAAAUGAUACAGACAUAUUUCUGAAAAGGUUUCAUCUGUCAACCCCAUUCUCUGUGAUGCAUUAGAUAAAGAUCUAUCUGGGAUAAGAAGAUUAAGGAGAGGCAAGGUGGCAACUGCAGAGCAGAGCAAUUGAGUCUUUACAGUUGAUGUUUCCUUGGACAGCCAGACAUUCUUCUAAGAUGAGACUUGGUUGUUGAACACGGAAGGACCAGCCAGGCAACUCUGAAGACCUGUUUGUCAGUAUCUGCUAAGGUUCACACCAUUGCCUUAGUCUGUCCAUGGGCUUAGGGACGAUGCUGAGUGACAUCCUACACUUGCUCAGAAAUGAUUUCAACUGUCUGCAGCAGAGAAAAGAACUGAUGCAUAGAGAGAUAAAUAGUUUGUCCAAAACCAUGCAAGGUAA